rnacentral:lncRNA from 1 species
GUUGCUGCUGUAGAUCUUCUGGUUCCUGGAGUUGGGGAGCUCUUUGGAGGUAGCCUCAGGGAGGAACGGUACCAUGUCCUAGAGCAGCGACUAGCAAGGUAUUGUCAAACCUAAAAGAAGCACACUUAAGUAGCUGGGGUGGGGUCCUCAAAGGUGGUCCCUGCAUAAUAACACAAACAAAGCACUUGGCCUCCUCACACCUGACUGGCCUGGCACUCGGGCUCCAAGUGAUCUACAAAGGUUGCUCUAACAUCUGUGAGUAUCUCGUUCUUGAAGACCAGAUCUAUUGGCAGGCAUAGUAGUUCAUGCUUAUAAUCUCAGCAAGAGGCUGAGGCAACAGAAAGAAUUUCACAGGUUGCAAGCCAGCCUGAACUACAGAGUGAAACCCUCUCCAAAAAAAAAAAAAAAAA